rfam:Kluyveromyces lactis strain NRRL Y-1140 chromosome F complete sequence.
AUCUCUUUGCCUAUUGGCUUAGAUCAAGUGUAGUAUCUGUUCUUUUCAGUGUAACAACUGAAAUGUCCUCAUAGAGGAUAUUACUGUUACAGACUCAGUUUUUGGCCAACAUUA